rnacentral:rRNA from 1 species
AGUGAACGCUGGCGGUAGGCCUAACACAUGCAAGUCGAACGGCAGCACAGUAAGAGCUUGCUCUUACGGGUGGCGAGUGGCGGACGGGUGAGGAAUACAUCGGAAUCUACUUUUUCGUGGGGGAUAACGUAGGGAAACUUACGCUAAUACCGCAUACGACCUACGGGUGAAAGCAGGGGAUCUUCGGACCUUGCGCGAUUGAAUGAGCCGAUGUCGGAUUAGCUAGUUGGCGGGGUAAAGGCCCACCAAGGCGACGCUCCGUAGCUGGUCUGAGAGGAUGAUCAGCCACACUGGAACUGAGACACGGUCCAGACUCCUACGGGAGGCAGCAGUGGGGAAUAUUGGACAAUGGGCGCAAGCCUGAUCCAGCCAUACCGCGUGGGUGAAGAAGGCCUUCGGGUUGUAAAGCCCUUUUAUUGGGAAAGAAAAGCAGCAGGUUAAUACCCCGCUGUUCUGACGGUACCCAAAGAAUAAGCACCGGCUAACUUCGUG